rnacentral:tRNA from 1 species
GUGCUGGUGCCAGAGUGGUUUAAUGGGGUGGAUUGCAAAUCCAUUGUUCGUCGGUUCGAAUCCGACCCAGCACU